UACGUAGGGUGCGAGCGUUGUCCGGAAUCACUGGGCGUAAAGCGCACGUAGGCGGACUCUUAAGUCAGGGGUGAAAUCCUGGAGCUCAACUCCAGAACUGCCUUUGAUACUGGGAGUCUUGAGUUCGGGAGAGGUGAGUGGAACUGCGAGUGUAGAGGUGAAAUUCGUAGAUAUUCGCAAGAACACCAGUGGCGAAGGCGGCUCACUGGCCCGAUACUGACGCUGAGGUGCGAAAGCGUGGGGAGCAAACAGG
rnacentral:rRNA from 1 species